rnacentral:snoRNA from 1 species
AUUCCAUGGUUUGAACACUUUGUUAUCAACUCAUUAAAAUUAUUCCAUGCCUCGUGAUAGUUCUCUCCCUCUCUUUGCUGAAAAGCUUGAAUCUCCAAUCUGAUUUU